AAAUACUUGUCAUAGGUUUUUUUCUCGAUUGCCGCCAAACUCGGUCAACAUGAUCUCAAGACACUGGGGAUGAAAAAUUGCCAGGGGAUUUUUGAUAUCUCGAACGGUUUGCUCGUGGCGAGGCGUUGAAAUUAUGGCAAGAAAUUAGAAACAGGAAGUGUCUAAUACCAUCCACAUACAUUUCCUGAUUUUAAUCAAACUUCAUCAGAUUAUUCGUUGUAUAAUGUCGAUCGCAUAUAUGUGACUAUUAGGAGUCAAAGUUAUAGCGCCACCAACUGGCAGAAGGAAGUGUGUCAUUUUCAAAAUGAUUUGAAUUCAGCAUCUUAUUAUUACUCGAUUUGCUUCAAACUUCAUCAGAAUAAUGUUAAAACACAGCCAAUAUAAAUCUGCAAGGGGGAUAUUGAUAUCUAAAAAAUUGUUGCCGUGGCAACAUGUCAAACUGGAAUACUUCUCAGGUGAUUUUGAGGCAAAUAACAUACUUAGAAUUUCACAAAACUCUGAACACACAUCAGUAUUUCUGAUAGGAACUUAAAUUGUGAAUGGAUUUUGGAUAGCUUGAAUGGUUUUGCCGUGGUGAUUUUUUUAAAUGACCUUACAAAGGGAAUCAUUAUUGUAUUUUUAAAUUGCAGCUUCCAAACACGUCAAAUAAUUUUUUCAUACAGAUGAAAAAGUCAUUCUGAGGAAAUAUGCAUAGUUUCACGACUUUACAACACUGUAUGGAUAACAGAAAAUUAAAAAACUGUCAGACAUCUCAUCUCACGCUGUCCCUCUGUUUGAGUAUAUGUGCUUCAGACUUCCAUUGUCUGAGAGAAAUAGCGCCCCUACAGGUUCAAUUCCCGAACUUUUACUUUCACUUUUAAAUCGGUUAAAAAUACAAACAAAUACUUAGAUUUAAUUCACACUGACAAGCUAAACCAACAUAUCUGAUUAUUACCGGUUCAGGGCUCAUGGAUAAAUUAUUUCUGGCCAGAGAUAUGUGAGAAAUAGGAGAGAUUAAUCACCGCUGUGAUCACGAGCGUCUGGAGUAAAGAGCUCAGAGAAAACGAAUUUAUUCCUGUUUUAAAGCUUUUAAAAAUAAAUUAUUACAGCGAUAUCACACAAUCAACCAAUUAGAACACACCAAGAGCUAAAUUAAGAUGUUUUUGAACUGUUUGUGUGAAAAUGAAAUAUUUGUGGCUGCCUAUCUGAAAUCACCGCCUCCGAUCAGCGCGUACAGUGUCCAGCUCAAAACAAACGAAUUUAUUCUUGUUUAAGAGCUUUUUUAAAUAAAAUAUUACCACAAAUGCACACAAUAAACCCAUUGUAACACAACAAGAGCUAAAUGCAGGUGUUUGUGACCUGUUUAAGUGUGCAAGACUAUUUGAAAGCGCGACUGGCAGAAUAACAUAUAUCUCUCGAGCUGCAGGAUUCUGGC